rnacentral:lncRNA from 1 species
AUGAAUAAGAAGAACCUGAGAACACUUGAAGGCUGGCAGGGGCAUCACCAGCUCCGGCUCGGCACUCCGGUCUCAGGGUCUCCCGACACUGACGCUCCCUGCUUCCUAAGGAGGCAAAGGCUGGAAGCAACACCUUCGGGAGUGAGCCGUGCAACCGGAGCCGGGGAGCACAGGCAGCCUCGGUGCCCUGAACCCAGCCGCCCGCGCCGCCCUCUCCUCCCUCUCCUUCUCCCGGCGCCUCCACCGCCCGGCAGCUGCCUUAACUGCGCCGGGUCCCGCGCGCCCCCAGCCUCACCAGGGCCCAGGCGCGCACCUCCACCCGCCCGCAGCAGCCCGGCGGGACCCGGUGUUAUAGCCGGGUCGUGGGGGCGGGCGCGCCCGGGCCCCGCCUCCAGACGUCCCUCCGGCCCACUCCGGAGCCGUGCGGGUGCCUCCCGGGCGGGGCCUCAGCCCCCUUUACACCUAGGAGAGCCAGCGCCCGCCGGGUGCGCCCUUUCGUGGAGCGGCGGGUGCGGGCGGGCGGCGGGACGUGGAGUCUCCCCUCGCGGACAGUCUUUGCUGGCACCCCAGGUUUUGAAAGAAGCAUUGAACUUAGCAGCAUGAAUCAGUUUCUUCAAAGCUCCUUUUGGCGGAUGAUCUAA